rnacentral:rRNA from 1 species
AUGGCUCAGGAUGAACGCUAGCGGCAGGCUUAACACAUGCAAGUCGAGGGGCAUCGGGAGUAGCAAUACUGCCGGCGACCGGCGCAAGGGUGCGUAACGCGUGAGCAACAUGCCCGUAUCAGGGGGAUAAUCCAUGGAAACGUGGUCUAAUACCCCAUAGUAAUUAUGUAAGGCAUCUUAUAUAAUUUAAAGCUUUGGUGGAUACGGAUUGGCUCGCGUGACAUUAGCUGGAUGGUAAGGUAACGGCUUACCAUGGCUACGAUGUCUAGGGGUCCUGAGAGGAAGGUCCCCCCACACUGGAACUGAGACACGGUCCAGACUCCUACGGGAGGCAGCAGUGAGGAAUAUUGGACAAUGGAUGGAAAUCUGAUCCAGCCAUGCCGCGUGCAGGAAAGACGGCCCUAUGGGUUGUAAACUGCUUUUGUAUGGGAGCAAUAAGGGCUACGUGUAGUCCGAUGAGAGUACCAUACGAAUAAGCACCGGCUAACUCCGUGCCAGCAGCGGC